GGGGAAGGGGCGGGCGCUCUGUGCCGCCGCCGCCGGGGCCGUUUCCGCCGCCGCUUCCCCUCUGACUCGGAACACCUCUCCGGCUGCGCUCUGCCCGUCUGGCCCCACCUCUCAGCUCGCACCGCAGGCGGGGACGGCGGCGGCGCAGAAUCAGGCGGGAUCAGUGCCGAGAGGUGGGGGCUCGCCGCCGGUUCUGCUGGCCGGACGUCAGACCCUUGAGUCCUUGCCGCUGAGCGCGGAGCCUCCCUCCCCAGCGCACUGCGGAGCUGGGUCCCUUCAGCCCCCCGCAGCGGCCGUGGCUCCUCCUGCUUCUCACAGCCGGGAGUAGGUUGCUGGAGUACAUUGUACGGGUUUGGUUAGCAGACAGUGGAGACAAGUGUUUUCCUUCUAAAAUAUGAGCAUUAUGGUGAAGAAAACAUAUUGCUCUGAACAAUAUAACUUUCAUGGGUAAGUGUAAUGAAAAAAACCCAACCAAACAAAAGCACGAAUGCCUUUUAUAUUUCUAAGACAAGUAUUUCAUAAUGUUAUACAGCAACUUGUGUGCAGUAAAGUUCUAAAUGCUCUGUUUAUGUCGACUUAGGUGCAGAUUAUUUUAUUAGGAAAUGUUGUAAGAGAAUGCUUGUAUCCUGGAGAAACUGAUAGGAAUAUUUGUCUUCCUUCUAACAUGUAAUAUAUUAAAAAUGUACAAGGCUUCCCAUGUUCCUUUAGCAGGAAUCUGACAGAAGGUACUCAGUUCAGUUUAUUUAAAUAAGCGCACCUGUAAUGUAACUGUAAUAGCUGUUAAUUCAAAGCAGAAAAGGCAAGCACAUAAAUUGGCAUAUAAUAGAUUCAUCUCUGAAAACUAAAAUGUUUGUGUUAAUGUAUUGUCUUCAUGAAUUAUUUCUGUAUGUUUCAGUAAAACACUCCCUAAACCAUUGCUUAAUCAUCAUAGAAGAGUAUUUUAACCUUUUUAGGAACACAUUCAGUAAUGUUUUUUCAUGAUAUACUCUGUUUUGUUUCUUUUUAUUAGUGUUUUUUCUUGCUUUGUGAUUUGCUGUCAAAAUGUUAGUACUAGUUACAAAAAUGUCUAUUGGAUAAAUGCUCAAGCUUAUCUGUAUCCUUUGAACACAGUGUAACUUAUCUUUUUGAUUGUAUUCUAAUUUUUAAGGUGAUGUCUGGCUAACAUCUUUUUGUGGCUCUGUGUGGAUAUGAAAGUUUCAGAAGUAAUAGUUUCUUAAAUUGAAAACUUCAUGCUAGGCUAUUUGUACUGGAAUUGCUUGCUGCUUUAAAGUUACUCACCUGUACUCACCAAACGCUCAGUGUUUGGAAUUUCACAAAUUUGAAAGAUAUGAAUUGCUUUUGUAAGGCAGAGACAAGAAAUGGAAUUAAUUUCUAAUAAAUGCUGAAGUACUAAGUUCA
rnacentral:lncRNA from 1 species